CGAUGAAGGACGGGACUAACACCGAUAUGCUUCGGGGAGCGGUAAGUACGCUUUGAUCCGGAGAUUUCCGAAUGGGGAAACCCAGUCAGCUUAAUCGCUGACUACUUGACUAGUGAAUUCAUAGCUAGCAAGAGGUAGACGCAGUGAACUGAAACAUCUUAGUAGCUGCAGGAAGAGAAAGAAACAUCGAUUCCCUGAGUAGCGGCGAGCGAAAGGGGAAGAGCCCAAACCAGUAAGCUUGCUUACUGGGGUUGUAGGACUGAACAAUAGAGUUACCAAAGUGCGACGUAGUCGCAACAGUUG
rnacentral:rRNA from 1 species